UUUACAUUAGAACCGGAAAACGUAACUCCAAUGAACUUUUCUUCAUCUAGAAAUAAUUUCGUUUCUCUUUGAACUUUUCUUCAUCUAGAAAUAAUAAUAUCAAAAGAACGAGCUUCCUACAGAGAAAAGAAAUGUUUUAAGCUCAGACAAAAGAACUAUAUGUGGUAAACAAUAUGCUGAACGUCUUCAAAAUAGGGUGUUAAUAGAAAUCAGAACGGAGAAAGAUGAAAAGAUGCAGGAUUUAAUAACAAAAUGUUGUGGAUUAAUAGAGAGAGAAAAUAAUUUCCACUUUCAAAUUGUUUGACAAUAUUCAAAGAGGUAGGGGAUAGAACUAUGUUUGAUCUGACAUUAAAGCAAGAUAUGAGUAGAACCAAAUCUCCCAAAAUCUUUUUGUCUAUGUCAAAUAAUAGUGUUCAUAGGAGAUAUAUAGAGGCAGCAGAGUCACGAUUAAUUACCAACAAUAUCAAAAUAUAGAGUUUUGGUAUAUCUAUCUAUAAUAAUAAAGUAAGAUUUUCUCUCACCACAGGCUGUCAUGUCAGCAAGGAAGAGGGGGCUUUUUUAGACAUGUGGCUUCUCCCACUUCUUCAUAAACGUUUUCCGUACACAGAUUUUUGACGAGCCAAUCAGUUUUUAUUUAUAUCAUACCAUGUUUUAUAUUUGGGCUUAUAUUCUGUUAGUGUGUUCAGGCCCAAUGUAUUGUAGGUUUGCAUAUAAUAUGAGAUCAACGCUGUCGUUUUCCUUCAGAUGAAGCUUCAGAUGAACUUCAUGUAACGCUUUCAGUUUUCAUUUAUUUUCUCCUUUAAUCCGAGCAUUUACAAGCUUCAUCCCACUUGUCCCACUCUGAAGCAUUUAAUCGAGCUCAGCAUCGUCAUACAUAACCGUCGGAAGCUCUCCAAUAAAUUUGCAUGCUUCCGGCGAUGAACAGCUCCACCUUUACGAAAUCGAGAAGGAAAUUCUCUGCUAAUUACCAACUCCAACAAUGGCGUAUCCUUCACUCUGAUUUGAAAGCUGGCCGCUGUUCAAACACAAUUGAGAUCCGUCUUCUGAGGCUAGCAAUGUGCAGAGAGGCGGCGAUCUGAUGGAUGUUGACAUGCUACUCACUAACGAGAAGAGAAGGAUCCGAGAGUGCGAACGUCUCAUUAAUUUCAGAGACCAUUUCAGUGAAGGCUCUGUUUCUGAGAGGUUAAGAGCUCCCAUUUUAUGUUUUCCUCUCGGCUCAAACCGCCGCCGAUGGACUGCGUCGAGAUGAGCGAUGGAGGUUGGGUGGUGGAAAGAACAUGAAGUAAUUUGUAUCUUAAUUGGUUCGGUGAUAUGCAUAAACCAAAAAGCAUUGGCACUGACCUCACAAUACAAGACAUGAAGAACUGUACUCUAGCCUCUGUCUCCCAUAAGAAACAUUCUAUGUUCUACUGAUGAUCCCACUCAAUGGAGGAGCUUGCUAUCUGUGAGGAUAUAGAUCAGAUAGAACUGCAAGGUCUCAAAGAUAUACUCUGGCUUCUGUGGGUAGUACGUAUUGGAGGCAACAUUUUCCUCAUAUAAAGAAAGCUGACUGUCUGGAAGAAUUGGGUGGGUGAUCCAAAAGAAUAUUGAAUCUGUCAUAACUGUGAGAUAGUUCCAAGAUACAAAUUGACUGGUAAAGAUUUAUAGGGUUCAUGAACUUUUGAAGUCUCAGGUAUUCAGGAACUUAUAAGCAAAAGGUGAAGUUCAAGACCGUGAAAAUUUGGUGUAUUUAUUAUGAGAUGGAAUUAUAUUUUUUCCUUUGGACAUAUUCCAAGACACUGUCUGAGUCUAGACAACAAUGAACAAAGUAAUGAGUCAUUCACAAUCAUUGCAUAAUUGUUCAUACCCUGUGUCUAAAACGGUUAUAAGUAUUUUCAAAGUUAA